ACUAACACUGCAUUAUUUAGUUGUACAACAUGUUAUCUGAAUUAUACGUGAAAGAAUGAACAUUGCAUAUUGUCAUUGUACAACAAGCAUUCAUAUUGUACUGGAGAGGUUUUCUCAUUUUUGACCCUUUUUGGCUCAAUUUAGUUGGCUCUUACAACAUAAAUUUCAUCUGCAUAUACUCCAAAGGUCUCAUUUGAAGCAACUCCAAAUCUCCAUCUUCGUCUCCUGCAACUUAGCUCAAGAUUGAAACUGAGUCUGUUUCAUAGAUGCAACACAAAUAUCGACACUAUGGAGCACAAUUCCAACUACAAAGGAAGAGCAAAAAAAAAGGGCUAUCAGAAAAGGAACAUCAAGCCAAAGUGAUUUUUAUCUGUAUGUACUGUACAACACAAGUUACAUAUACCGUGUCCUCAAAACUCUCAUUUCAAGCAAGCUCUUUCAACUCUAAAUUUGCAUCUGUCUCUUGUAACACAGAUCUUCUCAAAAUUUAAAUUGGUAAAUUAUUCCACCUUCUUUCUGCUUUUCUGUUUCUUCUUUCUUUUUUUAGUGUAUUUUUGUUCAUGGAGUCUUGUUAAACUUUCUUUACAAGAUUUUAUUUAAGGAAAUAAAUCAUUUUCCAUUCACCUUGGAAAACAAGGUAACAUGUGUACUAAGACUAGGACAAUUUUGUCUAUAUUUGGGACAACUGAACUGCUGAUGGUUGACAUAUUGAGUACUUAAGGUGUGAUUUUAAUCAUCUAUUCCUUGAUCUUUAAGAUAUUUCAUAAAACUUUGUGUGGAUCCUCAAUCACCAAUCCUUGCAUCAAUAUGGGUUGUGCUCGGUAAAUGAGAAAUCCAACUUUCCAAACUUAAUCCAUGUUGAUCUUUUGAUUAUUUAUUGUUAAUGAAAUAGAUAAUGUAUAUAGAAUAACUAUCAUUAUAGGUCCUUUUUCAAGAGUUGAACAUAUUGCGAGGAAAAAAUCAUUCUCCUCUUUUUCUUUGUUGAUUGGUUAUAGUUUGUUUGGAGAAUAAGUGAUGAUGAUGUUGAUUGGUUUCCUUUUUAUACUCUAUGAUUUUCUUUGCUUUUUGUCACAAUUUUAUUUCAUUAGCUCACUGUGGGAAUGAUUUGGUUUAGUUGUUUAAGCUGAAGCUCUUUUUUUUAAAGAAGUUAUUAGUUCUAUUGCAAGUAACAAGUAGAUGCAUAAUAGUUACAAAAGCUUAGUUAGCAAAAGAUCAGCGCUCAUUUACAUUUUCUUUAGCUAUAUUUUUAAUCUUAGCGUGUUUGCUUGAUGAAAUGCUUCAGAAUUGCUAGCUUAUAUGCGAGUUUUAUUGUCUGUUUCUUGAUAGAUGAUUGAAAGAUUUACUAUAUAAUUUUUACUUUUACUGUUUUAAAAAAGAUUUUUCAUAUGUUUCUGUUCACGAUUUUUUUUGCCAUUUUAUCCUGAUAAUAGUCCUUGUUAUACUAUUUUGACACGAUAUGAAUCUCUUCUCUGUUUUUCUUGUAUCGUGUGGUAUGUGAGACCUAGUGCAGCUCCUAUGCCUGGAGUUCCCCCGUUGGGUCCCCGAAGAAUAACUGGUCAAGUCUGCCCCCAUCAAUGUAGCCCUGUUGUUGGACGUGUUAGAGGUGAUUAGAGACCACCAAGAAUGAUAGGUGGCUAUGGUAUGUCUAGGGUGAAAGGUGGUGUGUCUGCAUGUGGCUUUGGGACUAGGCUGAAAUUCACUCUUUUCUCACACAAGUAUGUUUCCUGAUUUAUAACAUACUCGAAUUCGCUAUGUUUUCUGUUUGGUGAGGUUUGUUGUUUACUGUUAUGAAGGAAUCAUAAAUCCAACUAUUCAAAAACAUGAGGUAGUUAACUUUUACAGAUCGAUAGGUAGUUGAUAUUCCAAAGCAUCUACUUUUUUUUUCAUUUUUUGUUUGGAGAAUAUACUUUGAAUGGGUCAUUUCCAUGUGAUUUCUUUGGAGAACUUCAAAGUUUCACCUACUUGGAACUGGACAACAGCUAGCUAACUGGACCAAUUCCUUCUGAAUUGGAUAAGAACCAAAAGUAAGUUAAAUGAUAUGUAUAAUAUUCUGGUAACCAAGAUUAAAGCACUGCGACUCUAACAAUUCAUCAACCUUUAAAAUACAUCUAAGUUUAAAAAUAAACACGACACCACAAAUUUGUACCGAUAGCAUUCAAAAUUGUACUACACUAUCGUACCCUCUUCACUAUUAGAUAAACACGUACUACUCUUCCGGUUUUUCAUUAUUUUACUUUGGUCCUUAUAUCAUUUUUUCAUCUAUUCCAUCAUUUUUUGCUUCUCUAUUUGUCAUUCUCCUAUACUCACUUUAGGAAAAGAAGAGACUUUUUGAAAUUGAAGGUAAUUAGAGAAGAGUGAUUCAAGUCCCGCUGGUGCAUCAAUUUGGUGAUGAAAAUUCACAUUUGACUACUGAAUUUGGAGGAAAAUUAGUAUACCUAUCACUACAAAAUGGGUGUUACAUGUAAGAACAAGAAUAAGAAACACUUUCAAGCAGCAGUGUAGAUAGACGUAAAACUCAAUUUUGAAAUUUCUAACACUCAAUGGUGUAUAGUUGACAAGGUAAUCACAUUUUUAAUGAAAAAUUCUAAACACAAUAUAGCUUAUGAACUUCUUAUUCAACAGAAAAAUAAGGAACCCGAUAUAGGUGUUCGUGAUCCUUUAUUCUUGAUACUACUAGCAGUAGCAUCUUCUCUUUUUGUUGGUCACGAGAAGGAAUACAAAGAUUUUCGGCUGUUAAAUUUCAAACUUGAAAAAUGAUACACGACUUAACGAGGACAGGGAUCAGUAAAUGGAAAUACUAUUAUUACAUGCUUAUUGUUCUAUUCAUUUCCUUCAUGAAGAUGCAUAGUAGACCUUUUGUUCCAAUUUCUAUGUCAAUGAGUUUGUAAAUGUGCCUACAUCUUGUAUAAAUAGUGUAAUUUUCCACCGAAGCAGUUUGGAUGAACCCCCUCGCCCCUUGUUGGCUCCGCCCUUGAGUUGCUUAUCCUAAUGCUUUGUUACUAAGUAAUUUUUUAUACAUGAUCCUGCAUUUUAAUUUUUUGGAUGUGUCAAUCUAUGUUUUUUUUUAUAAUAAAACUAAAAACUAUCACUUCUUAGUUAGUAUUACAUUAACGUUCAGAAGUGUGUUGUGUUUUAGCUUUGAAGCUAGUAGACCUAAUUUAAGAGACGAGUUGUCUUUAAUAUUUUAUUUUCAACGCUUAGUUAUUCAAGCUUCAAGCUUCGAGUUCAUUUCUUAUGUGAAAAAAGUUGAAAAUAGUUUGGAUGUUUCUUUUGUGAAAGUAAGGCUAGACUGAUUGCAUUCAUCAAGAAUUUUAAGUUUAACUUUAGGAGUGAUUUGUUUGUUAAUUGAAUUUCUUUUAUAACAAUGUCUUCUUUUGUUAAGGUUGUCGUUUUUGCUCUUUGUUGAUUAUCAAAGAUCUUUCGAGAUAUAAUAGUGAUUCCAGAACAAAUCUUUGCUCAAGUAUGUCCAGGUCCCUACAGAGAGUAUACUGAUAUACCGUUGUUUCACGGAAAUCUGUCUAAAACUGAAUGCGGAGAUUUUGAGCGAAAAAUGCAGAAGAG